CGUGUGUCAGGAUAGUUCACCGGACCCCUACUUCACUAGAUGUAAUUGCUAUUCCAUCAACAUUCAAGGAAGUUACAUCCUUAGGUUACAUCUGAAGCUGUUUUAGAAUCUACUUCACCAGAUGUAAUCGCUAUUCCAUCAACAUCCAAGGAAGUUACAUCUGAAGAUUUUUCACAACAGACA